GUGAGAGUAAUGCCAGACUGCUUUAAAGACCCGUUUCUGAUGAGCUCUUAUAGAUUGGGAUGGCUUGUGAGAAUUAUACCUGACAUCAAAGAUGUGGAUCACAGGAUCUACUGAACCAGAUGUCAGGUACAAACCAUCAGGAGACCAAGCCUGAUUGAUCAAAGCUGACUGAGAGUCGCUGCUUUCUUGCUUAAAACCGAAAGAGUGAAGCUCUGUCUGCCUAAGUCGAAUAUCAAACAAUCUCAGCUGCUUCUCAGGAGUCCCUGUCUGAACCAUGAAUAGAUUGAAAUCGCAUGGAUUAGGCAGAACACUCAUGCAUUUAUUAUCUAGUUGAUGCCUGAAGUCUGCUCUCCCUAUUUGAACAUCAAACCCUAUAAUUUUCUUGUCUGCACCAACUGAUAGAAUGAUAUGCCUUUG
rnacentral:misc_RNA from 1 species